rnacentral:rRNA from 1 species
AGUGAACGCUGGCGGCAGGCCUAACACAUGCAAGUCGAGCGGCAGCGGGUCCUUCGGGAUGCCGGCGAGCGGCGGACGGGUGAGGAAUGCGUCGGAAUCUGCCUCUUUGUGGGGGAUAACGUAGGGAAACUUACGCUAAUACCGCAUACGACCUACGGGUGAAAGUGGGGGACCUUCGGGCCUCACGCAGAGAGAUGAGCCGACGCCGGAUUAGCUAGUUGGCGGGGUAAAGGCCCACCAAGGCGACGAUCCGUAGCUGGUCUGAGAGGAUGAUCAGCCACACUGGAACUGAGACACGGUCCAGACUCCUACGGGAGGCAGCAGUGGGGAAUAUUGGACAAUGGGCGCAAGCCUGAUCCAGCCAUGCCGCGUGUGUGAAGAAGGCCUUCGGGUUGUAAAGCACUUUUGUCCGGAAAGAAAUCCUUUCAGUUAAUACCUGGGAGGGAUGACGGUACCGGAAGAAUAAGCACCGGCUAACUUCGUGCCAGCAGCCGCGGUAAUACGAAGGGUGCAAGCGUUACUCGGAAUUACUGGGCGUAAAGCGUGCGUAGGUGGUGGCUUAAGUCCGAUGUG